GGCGGAUGUAGCCAAGUGGAUCAAGGCAGUGGAUUGUGAAUCCACC
rnacentral:tRNA from 13 species